GAAAAAUAACAUUUAGAAUGCAUGUCAUUGUCUGAAGGGAGGCCAGUGAAAACCUCUGCUAAAGGUGUUUCUGCCACUCAGACGAAAUGCUGGAAAAUAAAGAAAAGGGUGAAAUCCCGCAUCAGCACUCUCCAUGGAGAGAUUUUCCAAGUGUAACCUCAGUUGAGGCUCAGGUGCCACACCAAAACAGAAACUCCUGAGAAGACGCCUUUCCCACGAUGAGAAACGGAAAACUCAGUUUCACCAGCAGUUUCUCAUUGGAGAACCAGUUGAGUUUUCGAGCAGCUAAUUUUUUGAAGGCUUGAACCUGAAGUCUGUCACGCCUCAAGUGGACUCCCCCAGUGUUGCGAACUCCAUCUCCCAUGAAUCCAUGGGAGGACACGUGACUUCGGACUUCCCUGUCACAUCGGAGCCCAUAAUGGACAUCACCCAGGAGUCUACAGGGGAUCACGUGACCGGUGACGAUCGGUCCCAGGUUUCACCUGUGUUUGUAUGUCUAUGACUGAUGUUGUAGUUUAGUAUAUAAGCCCAGGCUCUAGUUAGGUCAAGUUGCGAAGUAAUGUUUCUCAUGUAAACUUACUGAGCGUUCCUUCUGAUUGCCUUUAUCUGUUUUUGACUCUGACCUCUUCUUGUUUUUCUCAAUGCUGAUUUUUUUCCUUGCCCUUUUGGUUUUGUUUGCUGGUUUUGGAUUUGUGCGUUUGACCUCUUUUUGCUUGUUAUUUCGACCUUGAUUUUUGGAUUGCGCUUUUGUUUAGUCUGCCUUGUGAGAUGAUCACCUUUGUGAUCAUCUACAUUCUUCUGGUUUUGACCCCUGUAUGUACUUUGCCUAAUAUAAUUAAACCCACUUUUUCACUUUAA